CAGCCGCCGCGGUAAUACAGAGGGUGCAAGCGUUAAUCGGAAUUACUGGGCGUAAAGUGCGCGUAGGUGGUUUGUUAAGUUGGAUGUGAAAUCCCCGGGCUCAACCUGGGAACUGCAUCCAAAACUGGCAAGCUAGAGUAUGGUAGAGGGUGGUGGAAUUUCCUGUGUAGCGGUGAAAUGCGUAGAUAUAGGAAGGAACACCAGUGGCGAAGGCGACCACCUGGACUGAUACUGACACUGAGGUGCGAAAGCGUGGGGAGCAAACAGGAUUAGAUACCCCAGUAGUCCCUGUCUCUUAUAA
rnacentral:rRNA from 1 species